rnacentral:rRNA from 1 species
CCAAUAGCGUAUAUUAAAGUUGUUGCAGUUAAAAAGCUCGUAGUUGAAUUUUGGGUUUGGCCGAUCGGUCCGCCCUUGUAACGAGUACUGGUCGGUUGGGCCUCACCGCCUGGUGAUGUGUAAUGUUCUUUAUUGGGCGUUGUGAGCAGCCAGGACUUUUACCUUGAAAAAAUUAGAGUGUUUAAAGCAGGCUUAUGCCGGAAUAUAUUAGCACGGAAUAAUAGAAUAGGACGAUGAUUCUAUUUUGUUGGUUUCUAGGACCAUCGUAAUGAUUAAUAGGGAUAGUUGGGGGCAUUAGUAUUCAAUUGUCAGAGGUGAAAUUCUUGGAUUUAUUGAAGACUAACUACUGCGAAAGCAUUUGCCAAGGAUGUUUUCAUUAAUCAAGAACGAAAGUUAGGGGAUCGAAGACGAUCAGAUACCGUCGUAGUCUUAACCAUAAACUAUGCCGACUAGGGAUCGGGCGAUGUUGUUUCAAUGACUCGCUCGGCACCUUAUG